rnacentral:rRNA from 1 species
CAGCAGCCACGGUAAUACGAAGGGGGCUAGCGUUGUUCGGAUUUACUGGGCGUAAAGGGCGCGUAGGCGGACUGAUAAGUCAGGGGUGAAAUCCCGGGGCUCAACCCCGGAACUGCCUUUGAUACUGGAAGUCUUGAGUAUGGUAGAGGUGAGUGGAAUUCCGAGUGUAGAGGUGAGAUUCGUAGAUAUUCGGAGGAACACCAGUGGCGAAGGCGGCUCACUGGACCAUUACUGACGCUGAGGUGCGAAAGCGUGGGGAGCAAACAGGAUUAGAGACCCGUGUAGUCCCUGUCUCUUAUAC